CAGUCGCCGCGGGAAUACGUAGGGUGCAAGCGUUAAUCGGAAUUACUGGGCGUAAAGCGUGCGCAGGCGGUUAUAUAAGACAGAUGUGAAAUCCCCGGGCUCAACCUGGGAACUGCAUUUGUGACUGUAUAGCUAGAGUACGGCAGAGGGGGAUGGAAUUCCGCGUGUAGCAGUGAAAUGCGUAGAUAUGCAGAGGAACACCGAUGGCGAAGGCAAUCCCCUGGGCCUGUACUGACGCUCAUGCACGAAAGCGUGGGGAGCAAACAGGAUUAGAGACCCCCGUAGUCCCUGUCUCUUAUAC
rnacentral:rRNA from 1 species